CCUACGGGUGGCAGCAGUGGGGAAUAUUGGACAAUGGGCGAAAGCCUGAUCCAGCAAUGCCGCGUGAGUGAUGAAGGCCUUAGGGUUGUAAAGCUCUUUUACCCGGGAUGAUAAUGACAGUACCGGGAGAAUAAGCUCCGGCUAACUCCUUGCCAGCAGCCGCGGUAAUACGGAGGGAGCUAGCGUUAUUCGGAAUUACUGGGCGUAAAGCGCACGUAGGCGGCUUCGUAAGUUAGAGGUGAAAGCCUGGAGCUCAACUCCAGAAUUGCCUUUAAGACUGCAUCGCUUGAAUCCAGGAGAGGUGAGUGGAAUUCCGAGUGUAGAGGUGAAAUUCGUAGAUAUUCGGAAGAACACCAGUGGCGAAGGCGGCUCACUGGACUGGUAUUGACGCUGAGGUGCGAAAGCGUGGGGAGCAAACAGGAUUAGAUACCCCUGUAGUC
rnacentral:rRNA from 1 species